rnacentral:rRNA from 1 species
GUUCUUUUGUUUAUAUAAAAGAUCUGGCCUGCCCAAUGAAAAUUUAAUGGCUGCAGUAUUUUGACUGUACAAAGGUAGCAUAAUCAUUUGUCUUUUAAUUGAAGUCUGGAAUGAAUGGUUUGAUGAAAAAUUUACUUUCUUUAUUUUAAACAAAUAAUUUAAUUUUUUAAUUAAAAAGUUAAGAUAUUAGUAUAGGACGAGAAGACCCUAUAGAACUUUAUUUUGAUAAAAAGAUAUAAUUUUGUUAAUGAUUUUUUGUCUUUUUUUAGGAAUUUUGUUGGGGUGACAAAAAAAAUUUUUUAACUUUUUUUUAUUUUCUCAUUGAUUUAUGAUUAUUUGAUCCUUUAUUAUGGAUAUAAGAUUAAGUUACCUUAGGGAUAACAGCGUUAUUAUUUUAGAGAGUUCAUAUCGAUAAAAUAGUUUGCGACCUCGAUGUUGGAUUAAAAUAAGUUUCAGGAGUAGAUUAUUGAUUAUCUAGGUCUGUUCGACCUUUAAAUUUUUACA